ensembl:miRNA MIR513C microRNA 513c
GCGUACAGUGCCUUUCUCAAGGAGGUGUCGUUUAUGUGAACUAAAAUAUAAAUUUCACCUUUCUGAGAAGAGUAAUGUACAGCA